rnacentral:rRNA from 1 species
GAUGAACGCUGGCGGCGUGCCUAAUACAUGCAAGUCGAGCGAACAGACGAGGAGCUUGCUCCUCUGACGUUAGCGGCGGACGGGUGAGUAACACGUGGAUAACCUACCUAUAAGACUAGGAUAACUUCGGGAAACCGGAGCUAAUACCGGAUAAUAUAUUGAACCGCAUGGUUCAAUAGUGAAAGACGGUUUUGCUGUCACUUAUAGAUGGAUCCGCGCCGCAUUAGCUAGUUGGUAAGGUAACGGCUUACCAAGGCGACGAUGCGUAGCCGACCUGAGAGGGUGAUCGGCCACACUGGAACUGAGACACGGUCCAGACUCCUACGGGAGGCAGCAGUAGGGAAUCUUCCGCAAAGGGCGAAAGCCUGACGGAGCAACGCCGCGUGAGUGAUGAAGGUCUUCGGAUCGUAAAACUCUGUUAUUAGGGAAGAACAAAUGUGUAAGUAACUAUGCACGUCUUGACGGUACCUAAUCAGAAAGCCACGGCUAACUACGUG